rnacentral:sRNA from 1 species
ACCUAGCCCUGAUUGUAGUGAAAAUCCUUUUUUUGAAAAAAAAGAUUGCAACGAAAAGCAGGAAAAAGC